AACGAACGCUGGCGGCGCGUCUUAAGCAUGCAAGUCGGACGGCAAGGGUAGCAAUACCCCUAGAGUGGCGGACUGGUGAGUAACGCGUGGGUGACCUACCCUUGAGUUGGGGAUAGCCAUUAGAAAUAGUGGAUAAUACCGAAUACGAUCGCGACGCUUUGGCGAUGCGAUGAAAGGAGCUACGGCUCCGCUCGAGGAUGGGCCCGCGUCCCAUUAGCUAGUUGGUGAGGUAACGGCCCACCAAGGCGACGAUGGGUAUCCGGCCUGAGAGGGUGUACGGACACAUUGGGACUGAGAUACGGCCCAAACUCCUACGGGUGGCAG
rnacentral:rRNA from 1 species